CGUACGGUACAUUUCGUAAUCCAUUAUAUCCAACAUUUUGUGAUCAUUCUCUUUACAAUUUGGCUUUCAAUCCCAUGACUUGGAAAUCCCUUACCCAAACUUUGCCAAAGGGUAUUACAAAUGCAACCCAUGAGAAUUACGCACACAUAUAUAUCUUCAUAAUAAUUAUGCAGUACUUUUUUAAUCCUGUCGUUUUAGUCUAUUUCUUCCUUAUUUAACCUAUAUUCCUUGGGACUAAAGUCCCUCACUCAAACACAGGGCAUUUGAUCCCUUUGUCGAGGCACAUGGAAGCAUUUUAUUUCUACUAUCCUAUAAUAAUUUUUGAAGAAUUCAGCCAGGUGGAGUUGGAGCUCCAGCAAACUGGAAGGGAAGGAAACAGAAGCCUACCUUGGUAUUGGGUAUGUGGCCUGAUUUUAACUGACAUUGAAUUCUAAAUGGGCCGUUUAGCCCUAACAAUAGUUGUUGUCUCCUAACUGUUGAGGACCAUUAUGGUGUGACCUUUUUUUUUUCUUUUCUUUUCUUUCUUUUUUUUUUUUUAAAAAAAAUUUCCACCCCACCCACACCAGGCCUCGAUCCUGGGACCUAAUCUAUCCCACCCCUUACCCACACCCUCACCCACACCACUAGGCUAUUCCUAGUGGCUUCCAUUGUGGUGCGACCUGAGUAUCCCAAAAUUGUUGCAUCUGACCCUCCCCUUAAAGUUCAAACUACCAGUCUUCUGCGAUUGGUAGAUGGUUGACCUGUUGCAUACCAAUUCAGUAGCUUCUACUGCAACUUGUUUGACUAUUUAAAACUUAUGUUCUCUCAAUUUCUAUUUCCUCAUGAUACACACACACACACACACACAUAUAUAUAUAUAUAUAUAUCUAACACUCCAUUGAUGUCCAUGUCCGUGAACAUUGAUACAAGCGUAUCAACUAACAAUCUAAGCUAAGCUAGCGAUUCGUGUUUGCUCUUUAGAUCCUAUAUCUGCAUAGUCAACUAUUGGGUGGGAAAACUUCCAACAAAAAACGCGGUUUUAUGAUGAUAUUCUUUUUCAUUGUUAUUUACAGACUUGCAAUUCAAGUGAUUAAACAAAUUUACUUUCACUACUCUAUAUUUGAGACCAUUUGUACGAGUCUUCCUUCUCAACAUGGGUUGUACAAGAAACAGUUUACAAAUAUUAGGGUCAUUUUAUUUUCUUAGCAAAUUGCAGUUCUUUAUCAUUAUUAACAUGCAUCAAGGUGUAAUCUUAGCAAAUUGCAGUUUACAAAUUAUUUUCUUGGGGUACUCUUCUAGGAGUAAAGGGUUAAAAAUUUUAUUCAAGUCAAUUCCAAUUCAUGAAGAACAUAAAAAAGGAGUAUCAUCUUGUUUUUGUAUUAAAAUUCGUGGGGUCAAGGGCGAGAGAUUUUUCAGUGUGCUGGGCACACGAUCGUUAUACCAGGUAUAAUAAUACAAUUACUUUAAAAUUUAAAAUUUUAUUUUUAAUCAAUUGUAUAAUGAUAGUAGGUGUACAUGUUUGUAUUCCUAGCACUUGAAAUUUUUUUAUCAAAGGCAACAAGCUUUGAGAAUUUGUCUUAUGGUGGGUCAUAAUUUCAAAUGGGUCUUAAAUGGGCACAAUUAAUGGUGCAAUUUUUUCAAGCUAUAAUAACAUUUUCUUUUUUCACAGGAUAAAUGGUUGAAAACAACCCAAAAAUUAUAUAAAAAAAAAGUGAAAAAAUAGCUCAAUGCGUACUUUUAUCAUAUGUGUGGUCGUGAUAUUGAUUUUUUUAGUAUGGAAAAAUGAUUCCAAAAAGGUGAUAAAAAUGUAAUUCAUAUGGUAAAAUGAGAUUAAAUAUUUAGUUUCCAUUCAAAUAUUUGGUACUAGAAUGAUGACAUGAAUUUCUUCUAAUUGAUAGGAUUAACCAACCCUAUAUAUGUAUCCUUUUCGAACUAUAUUUCUUAUCUAACAUCGCAUGGUGUGGCUUUUUCUCUUCCUAAAUGCUAAUGCAAAUAAGUCUUCGAAAUUUAAGAAAAACAAGGUAAAUCCCACAAGAACUCUUAACCUCAAAUCUUAAACUUCUUCAACCACCAAAGCAAACAAGAAGGAACAUAGACGAUGGAAUGCGUCGCAAGAGUUUUCUCGUAGCUAAAAAAAACAUAUAAACAUGAAAAAACAGAUAAAGGAGAGAAAACACAGUAGGAAUUUGCUACAAAUUUUGAGCCUCAUUUAACUUAAUGAUGAUAUUAACGUUGUUGGGCAGGCAAGCUAACUGAUAUAAUAAGCAAAAGCAUACCAUGUCCAUGCAUAAUCCAUCCAGCUUCUCAAAAAAGCACUUAACAUUCACAAACUUGAAGAAAACAAGUAUCAUCACAAGAUGAAAGCAAAACACCAUUUAAACAGAAAACAAGAAGCAAAAGUUUUUCAUGACUUACCGAAACAUAUUUGUCCUCGGAAACUGUACACGGUCUCCGUGGUUCGAGACCUCUUCGCCGAAUGCAUUGCUGCUCUACGAGGCUGACGCAAUGAUCAAAUGGGGUCAUGGAAAUCUCAGUAACUUAAAAUAAAGGUUGAAACUGGAAAAAGUUGUAAGAAAGAAACUUCGUGUUGUAGAAAGCUCUCUUACAAUCAUUUUUCUUUAAGCACCCAGUUUUUGCAGUUUUUGAGAGGGAAGUACACGCGUCUUUCAGGUGUUGCAGGCCAAAACUUGCAGCUCACUAGAGGCUAGAGCCAUUGCAAUGGGGGCUUAUAGUUGGAAUUGUAUGUCUGGGAUUUGACCGGUAGAUUUUGUCUUGUUUACAAGAGGAUUACCGGCUAGUAUUUCUGAGCAAAAUGUAAAACCCAACCAAACGUUCUAACCCAAAAGAAAAAGGUCAAGAGUGUUUUGUUAGACGGACCAAACUUUCUAGUCUAA
rnacentral:lncRNA from 1 species